AUUGAACGCUGGCGGCAGGCUUUACACAUGCAAGUCGAACGAGUGGCGCACGGGUGAGUAAUGCCUCGGAACCUGUCCUAUGGUGGGGGAUAACUACUCGAAAAGGCAGCUAAUACCGCAUACCAUCGGAUCGGCCCAGAGCGGAUUAGCUAGUUGGUGGGGUAACGGCUCACCAAGGCGACGAUCCCUAGCUGGUCUGAGAGGAUGACCAGCCACACUGGAACUGAGACACGGCCCAGACUCCUACGGGAGGCAGCAGUGGGGAAUAUUGGACAAUGGGGGCAACCCUGAUCCAGCCAUGCCGCGUGUAGGAAGAAGGCCUUCGGAUUGUAAAGUGCUUUCGGCAAGGAAGCGGUACUCGCAGAAUAAGCACCGGCUAACUCCGUGCCAGCAGCCGCGGUAAUAC
rnacentral:rRNA from 1 species